rnacentral:rRNA from 1 species
GAUGAACGCUAGCUACAGGCUUAACACAUGCAAGUCGCGGGGCAGCAUGGGGGUUGCUUGCACCUCCCGAUGGCGACCGGCGCACGGGUGAGUAACGCGUAUCCAACCUGCCCUUCACCACGGGAUAACCCGGCGAAAGUCGGACUAAUACCGUAUGUUGUCCAUUGACGGCAUCCGAUUUGGACGAAAGGCUUUGCGGUGAAGGAUGGGGAUGCGUCCGAUUAGCCAGACGGCGGGGUAACGGCCCACCGUGGCUACGAUCGGUAGGGGUUCUGAGAGGAAGGUCCCCCACACUGGAACUGAGACACGGUCCAGACUCCUACGGGAGGCAGCAGUGAGGAAUAUUGGUCAAUGGGCGUAAGCCUGAACCAGCCAAGUAGCGUGCAGGAGGACGGCCCUAUGGGUUGUAAACUGCUUUUAUGCGGGGAUAAAGUGACCCACGUGUGGGCUUUUGCAGGUACCGCAUGAAUAAGGACCGGCUAAUUCCGUG